GCAGAACGCGAAGAACCUUACCAAGGCUUGACAUGCAUCGGAAACACUCAGAGAUGGGUGCCCCCUUUGGGUCGGUGUACAGGUGGUGCAUGGCUGUCGUCAGCUCGUGUCGUGAGAUGUUGGGUUAAGUCCCGCAACGAGCGCAACCCUUGUCCUGUGUUGCCAGCAGGCCCUUGUGGUGCUGGGGACUCACGGGAGACCGCCGGGGUCAACUCGGAGGAAGGUGGGGACGACGUCAAGUCAUCAUGCCCCCUUAUGUCUUGGGCUGCACACGUGCUACAAUGGCCGGUACAAUGAGCUGCGAUACCGUGAGGUGGAGCGAAUCUCAAAAAGCCGGUCUCAGUUCGGAUUGGGGUCUGCAACUCGACCCCAUGAAGUCGGAGUCGCUAGUAAUCGCAGAUCAGCAUUGCUGCGGUGAAUACGUUCCCGGGUCUUGUACACAC
rnacentral:rRNA from 1 species